CCAGACUCCUACGGGAGGCAGCAGUGGGGAAUAUUGCACAAUGGGGGGAACCCUGAUGCAGCGACGCCGCGUGAGUGAAGAAGUAAUUCGUUAUGUAAAGCUCUAUCAGCAGGGAAGAAUAAAUGACGGUACCUGAGUAAGAAGCCCCGGCUAACUACGUGCCAGCAGCCGCGGUAAUACGUAGGGGGCGAGCGUUAUCCGGAAUUACUGGGUGUAAAGGGAGCGUAGACGGCGAGGUAAGCCUGAAGUGGAAGCCCGCGGCCCAACCGCGGAACUGCUUUGGGAACUGUUUUGCUGGAGUAUGGGAGGGGUAAGCGGAAUUCCUGGUGUAGCGGUGAAAUGCGUAGAUAUCAGGAGGAACACCGGUGGCGAAGGCGGCUUACUGGACCAUAACUGACGUUGAGGCUCGAAAGCGUGGGGAGCGAACAGGAUUAGAUACCCGCGUA
rnacentral:rRNA from 1 species